UGGGGAAUAUUGGGCAAUGGGCGCAAGCCUGACCCAGCAACGCCGCGUGAAGGAAGAAGGCCCUCGGGUUGUAAACUUCUUUUGUCAGGGACGAAGCAAGUGACGGUACCUGACGAAUAAGCCACGGCUAACUACGUGCCAGCAGCCGCGGUAAUACGUAGGUGGCAAGCGUUAUCCGGAUUUACUGGGUGUAAAGGGCGUGUAGGCGGGGAAGCAAGUCAGAUGUGAAAUUCCAGGGCUCAACCCUGGAACUGCAUUUGAAACUGUUUUUCUUGAGUGAUGGAGAGGCAGGCGGAAUUCCGU
rnacentral:rRNA from 1 species